rnacentral:rRNA from 1 species
UACGGAGGGGGCUAGCGUUGUUCGGAAUUACUGGGCGUAAAGCGCACGUAGGCGGCUUUGUAAGUUAGAGGUGAAAGCCCAGGGCUCAACCCUGGAAUUGCCUUUAAGACUGCAUCGCUUGAACAUCGGAGAGGUAAGUGGAAUUCCGAGUGUAGAGGUGAAAUUCGUAGAUAUUCGGAAGAACACCAGUGGCGAAGGCGACUUACUGGACGAUUGUUGACGCUGAGGUGCGAAAGCGCGGGGAGCGAUCCGG